GGAGCUGUGGAGCAGUUAGGAGUGCUCGUCACCCUGUCAAGGUGAAGGCCGCGGGUUCAAAUCCCGUCAGCUCCGCCA
rnacentral:tRNA from 1 species